AUGGAGACCUGUAUGAAUGGCAUCACGAGGGCUUAACUGUCUCCUUUCUUAGGCCAAUGAAAUUGAUCUCCCCGUGCAGAAGCGGGGAUAGUUACAUAAGACGAGAAGACCCUAUGGAGCUUUAGACACUAAGACAGCUUACGUCAAGAAUACCCACAACACGGGAACGAACUAGGUUUCCCCUGUCCUAAUGUC
rnacentral:rRNA from 1 species